AUAAAAUCAGAUUAUAUUGUUAAUAUGGUCAUACACUUAUUUAACAUAUAAAUGAACUUAAAUUAUUUUCGAUUUUUGAUAAAGGCACAUUAUCGUGUUGUCAACUGGAGGAAAGGCGAGCCCAAAAAACCUCUUUAAGCAGUGAUUAAAAUUUUUUUGGAAAAUCAUCAAAAUAUUGAUAAGGAAAACGUAACUAUGAGGAAAUACCUUGUAAGCGUCGCGGUCUACAUUUGCAGCUGAUCCUUUUUUGAAAAAAGGAACAAUGUGGACAGGAACACGUUUUUGCAUCGUAACUGGACAAAGCAGGAAAUUGGUGGAUUGUUAUAAGUGCGAUUUUAUUCAAAUUUUGGUUACAUAUUAAUUUACAGACGAGUGACAAAAUUACAAAUAAAUCACAUGAAAAGCGGACUGUACGGCGUAAAAUAUUUUCUUCCUGUGCUAACUCAGAUCAAAUAAAUGAAGGUCAUUGAGGAGUCGAGACAUUACUUGCAUCAUUAAAGUAGUUAUUAUUCAGUUCUCAAGGUGUGUUCAAGUUUUUGAAAAAAAUAGUCGAGUUUGGUGAAAAAUAAUGAUGACAGGAAAGGUGAAAACGUUCGUGGGGGCCCAGCCUAAAGCCUGGGCUGUGGAAGCCUUGACGAUUAAAAUGCGGGGUUGGUAUUUGUGCAUGGAUGAUAAAACCAACUGGCCUUGAGGGGGCGAACAUGUGUUUGUGAGUUUGACUCGCGAGAACGAGAUGUCUUGGUUCAUCCAGUGCGAGCCUUUAGAGGGCGACUCCGGGUGCAUGUAGAUCCGGUGGGGGCUCUGGGCCUCCUCGUGGCCUGCGGGGGACCAGCCCACCGAAGAGGAGAAUUUGAAGCGGCAGUGGUGGGCUAAGGUCAUCUCCAGGAAGAGGCAGUAGUCGGCGGAUGGGUCCAAGUCGGUGAUUUUGAGGUUUAAGGCCGGGAACAUGCGCCUGAAUAAAAGAAAAAAACAUGCGUCAGGACCACAAAGGAUAAACUAAUGUUUCUGACUUAUUAACUGAUUAAUGAUUUAAAAAAAUUGUGCUUGUCGGCACUCGUUUCUUUAAAUUGUUCGUUCGUAAUGUAAAAAGCAGAAAUAAAUAAAUAAAUUGAUUAUUUUCAA